rnacentral:rRNA from 1 species
GAUGAACGCUGGCGGCGUGCCUAAUACAUGCAAGUCGAGCGAACAGACGAGGAGCUUGCUCCUCUGACGUUAGCGGCGGACGGGUGAGUAACACGUGGAUAACCUACCUAUAAGACUGGGAUAACUUCGGGAAACCGGAGCUAAUACCGGAUAAUAUAUUGAACCGCAUGGUUCAAUAGUGAAAGACGGUUUUGCUGUCACUUAUAGAUGGAUCCGCGCCGCAUUAGCUAGUUGGUAAGGUGACGGCUUACCAAGGCAACGAUGCGUAGCCGACCUGAGAGGGUGAUCGGCCACACUGGAACUGAGACACGGUCCAGACUCCUACGGGAGGCAGCAGUAGGGAAUAUUCCGCAAUGGGCGAAAGCCUGACGGAGCAACGCCGCGUGAGUGAUGAAGGUCUUCGGAUCGUAAAACUCUGUUAUUAGGGAAGAACAAAUGUGUAAGUAACUAUGCACGUCUUGACGGUACCUAAUCAGAAAGCCACGGCUAACUACGUG